GACGAACGCUGGCGGCGUGCCUAACACAUGCAAGUCGAACGGAACUUACCGAAUGAAGCUUUCGGGUGGAUUUUGGUAAGUUUAGUGGCGGACGGGUGAGUAACGCGUGAGUAACCUGCCUUCAAGAGGGGAAUAACGUUCUGAAAAGAACGCUAAUACCGCAUAACAUACGGAUGUCGCAUGGCAACCGUAUCAAAGAUUUUAUCGCUUGAGGAUGGACUCGCGUCCGAUUAGCCAGUUGGCGGGGUAACGGCCCACCAAAGCGACGAUCGGUAGCCGGACUGAGAGGUUGAACGGCCACAUUGGGACUGAGACACGGCCCGGACUCCUACGGGAGGCAGCAGUGGGGGAUAUUGCGCAAUGGGGGCAACCCUGACGCAGCAACGCCGCGUGAACGAUGAAGGUCUUCGGAUUGUAAAGUUCUUUUACUAAGGACGAAGAAGUGACGGUACUUAAUGAAUAAGCUCCGGCUAACUAC
rnacentral:rRNA from 1 species